CAGGCUUUCAGGGUGCAGGGGGAGAGAGAUGCCCAGUCUCUCCUGCUUGGCCUCCCUGUGAUAGAAGCCACACUGAGGGGUCCUGAGGGGCCCUCCUGGAGCUCAGGGUCUGGGCCACCGAACUCACAUGUCUCCAGGGCCCUCAGAAUUUGCUGCAGAGACUGUGAGGGGCAAGGCCUCUCAGGGGACAUGCUCUGGGCUCCUCUCAGCCUCAGGGCCAUUUAGGGUGGGAUGUCAGGAAUCCCCCGGGCAGGGGCCCCUUGGCUCUCGGGUGCAGCAGGCUGGUCAGGGGCCACAUCCCAGGAGGAGGCUGGGGGAGGUGGUGUGCAGAAGAUGUGACCUCGUGAGUGGCCCUGGUCCAGGCUGGACCCAUGCACCAGGCAGGCUGGUGCCAGGCCAGCCCCGGCACGGCACACUCUGUCCCUGCCUCCUGGCCAAGGGACCAGGAACAGCAGCCUGCACCCUGGUGGGGAUGGUGGACACAGAGCUGGGCCACCAGACCGGGACAGGCUGGGGCAGAUCCGCCAUCAUUGGUGCAGACGGGGGUGGCAGCGCGACACUGGCCCUGCAGCAUUGGCCUCACAGUUCUAGGGGGAGCGAUUUGGAUUUGUUCCCGGCCUGGUGGCAGCUCGGGGUGCAGGUGACAACCUUCAUGCUCAGGUGGUAGCAGCUGUCACCACGCCUGUCCUUGG
rnacentral:lncRNA from 1 species